GACGGAGGGUGCAAGCGUUGUUCGGAAUUACUGGGCGUAAAGCGUACGUAGGCGGCGGAUUAAGUCGAAUGUUAAAGCCUGGGGCUCAACCCCAGAGAUGCAUUCGAUACUGGUCUGCUAGAGGGUGAUAGAGGAAAGCGGAAUUCCCAGUGUAGCGGUGAAAUGCGUAGAUAUUGGGAGGAACAUCAGUAGCGAAGGCGGCUUUCUGGGUCACACCUGACGCUGAGGUACGAAAGCGUGGGGAGCAAACGGGG
rnacentral:rRNA from 1 species